CCUACGGGCGGCAGCAGUGAGGAAUAUUGGUCAAUGGCCGGAAGGCUGAACCAGCCAUGCCGCGUGAAGGUCAGUGCCCUAUGGGCGUUAAACUUCUUUUGUGCGGGAGCAAUAAUGGUCACGUGUGGCCAGACGAGAGUACCGUACGAAUAAGCAUCGGCUAACUCCGUGCCAGCAGCCGCGGUAAUACGGGGGAUGCAAGCGUUAUCCGGAUUUAUUGGGUUUAAAGGGUGCGUAGGCUGUGAGGUAAGUCAUCGUGGAAAUGCCCCCGCUCAACGGGGUGAAGUGCCAUUGAUACUGCCUUGCUGGAAUGCGGAUGCCGUGGGAGGAAUGUGUGGUGUAGCGGUGAAAUGCAUAGAUAUCACACAGAACACCGAUUGCGAAGGCAUCUCACGAAUCCGCGAUUGACGCUGAUGCACGAAAGCGUGGGUAUCAAACAGGAUUAGAUACCCCUGUAGUC
rnacentral:rRNA from 1 species